rnacentral:rRNA from 1 species
AGUGAACGCUGGCGGUAGGCCUAACACAUGCAAGUCGAACGGCAGCACAGUAAGAUCUUGCUCUUACGGGGGGCCGGAGGCGGACGGGUGAGGAAUACAUCCGACUCUACUCUUUCGUGGGGGUUAAGGUAGGUAAAGCUACUAUAAUAUAGCAUCCGCCCUACGGGUGAAAGCAGUGGAUAUUCUCGCCUUGUGCGGUUGAACUAGCCGAUUACGGACUAGCUAGUGGGGGGGGUAAAGGCCAACCAAGGCGACGAUCGGUAGCUGGUCUGUGAGGAUGGUCGCCCACACGGGAACUGGGACACGGUCCAGGCUCCUACGGGAGGCAGCAGUGGGGAAUAGGGGGCAGUGGGCGCAAGCCUGAUCCAGCCAUACCGCGUGGGUUGAGAAGGCCUUCGGGUUGUAAAGCCCGUUUGUUGGGUAAGAAAAGCUGCAGGUUAAUACCCCGCUGUUCUGACGGUACCCAGAGAAGAAGCACCGGCUAACUACGUG